rnacentral:tRNA from 1 species
GCCUGGGUGGCUCAGUCGGUUAAGCGUCCGACUUCAGCUCAGGUCAUGAUCUCACACUCCGUGAGUUCGAGCCCCACAUCAGGCU